rnacentral:rRNA from 1 species
CUACGGGAGGCACCAGUGAGGAAUAUUGCGCAAUGGGGGAAACCCUGACGCAGUGACGCCGCGUGAGUGAUGAAGGCUUUCGAGUCGUAAAGCUCUGUGAGGUGGGAAGAAAUAUUCCAGUGAUAAUACCACUGGAACUUGACGGUACCACCAGAGGAAGCACCGGCUAACUCCGUGCCAGCAGCCGCGGUAAUACGGAGGGUGCAAGUGGUGUUCGGAAUUAUUGGGCGUAAAGAGCGUGUAGGCGGUUAGGCAAGUCAGAUGUGAAAUCCCUUGGCUCAACCAAGGAAGUGCAUUUGAAACUGCUUAACUAGAGUACAGGAGGGGAAAGUGGAAUUCCCAGUGUAGAGGUGAAAUUCAUAGAUAUUGGGAGGAACACCGGUGGCGAAGGCGGCUUUCUGGCCUGAUACUGACGCUGAGACGCGAAAGCGUGGGGAGCAAACAGGAUUAGAUACCCUCGUAGUC